ACACCGGCAGCUCAAGUGGUAGCCGCUUUUAUUGGGCCUAAAGCGUCCGUAGCCGGUCUGAUAAGUCUCUGGUGAAAUCCCACAGCUUAACUGUGGGAAUUGCUGGAGAUACUAUCAUGACUCGAGGUCGGGAGAGGCUGGAGGUACUCCCAGGGUAGGGGUGAAAUCCUGUAAUCCUGGGAGGACCACCUGUGGCGAAGGCGUCCAGCUGGAACGAACCUGACGGUGGGGGACGAAAGCCAGGGGCGCGAACCGGAUUAGAUACCCGGGUAGUCCUGGCCGUAAACGAUGUGGACUUGGUGUUGGGAUGGCUUCGAGCUGCCCCAGUGCCGAAGGGAAGCUGUUAAGUCCACCGCCUGGGAAGUACGGCCGCAAGGCUGAAACUUAAAGGAACUGGCGGG
rnacentral:rRNA from 1 species